UCCCCGUUACCGGGGCAGUUUGAAUAGAAAAAUACAACUAUUCACAAGGGUUGCGCUCGUUGAUGGACUUAACCAAACAUCUCACGACACGAGCUGACGACGGCCAUGCAUCACCUGUCACUAAGUUCCUUGCGGCACAAUUUCCUUUCGGAAGCCUUCUUAGGAUGUCAAACCCUGGUAAGGUUCUUCGUUUAGCAUCGAAUUAAAGAACACGAUCCACCGCUUGUGCGGGUCCCCGUCAAUUCCUUUAUGUUUUAGUCUUGCGACCGUACUCCACAGGCGGGAUACUUAACGCGUUAGCUUCGCUACCGAGGGGGUCGAUACCCCCGACAGCUAGUAUCCAUAGUUUACGGCGUGGACUAC
rnacentral:misc_RNA from 1 species